rnacentral:rRNA from 1 species
AGCGAACGCUGGCGGCAAGCCUAACACAUGCAAGUCGAACGGAUCCUUCGGGAUUAGUGGCGGACGGGUGAGUAACACGUGGGAACGUGCCCUUUGGUUCGGAACAACUCAGGGAAACUUGAGCUAAUACCGGAUGUGCCCUUCGGGGGAAAGAUUUAUCGCCAUUGGAGCGGCCCGCGUCUGAUUAGCUAGUUGGUGAGGUAACGGCCCACCAAGGCGACGAUCAGUAGCUGGUCUGAGAGGAUGAUCAGCCACACUGGGACUGAGACACGGCCCAGACUCCUACGGGAGGCAGCAGUGGGGAAUCUUGCGCAAUGGGCGAAAGCCUGACGCAGCCAUGCCGCGUGAAUGAUGAAGGUCUUAGGAUUGUAAAAUUCUUUCAGCGGGGACGAUAAUGACGGUACCCGCAGAAGAAGCUCCGGCUAACUUCGUG